rnacentral:tRNA from 1 species
GGGGAGAUAGCUCAGCACUGUAGAGCACACAGCUUCUAGGCCUGGCAGCUCAGGUUCGAUUCCUGGUACCGCCA